CCGCCCGUCACACCAUGGGAGUCAGUAACGCCCGAAGCCGGUGACCUAACCGAAAGGAAGGAGCCGUCGAAGGUGGGACCGAUAACUGGGGUGAAGUCGUAACAAGGUAGCCGUAUCGGAAGGUGCGGCUG
rnacentral:ncRNA from 1 species